rnacentral:rRNA from 1 species
UGGGGAAUAUUGCACAAUGGGCGCAAGCCUGAUGCAGCCAUGCCGCGUGUAUGAAGAAGGCCUUCGGGUUGUAAAGCUCUUUUAGUGAGGAAGAUAAUGACGGUACUCACAGAAGAAGUCCUGGCUAACUCCGUGCCAGCAGCCGCGGUAAUACGGAGAGGGCUAGCGUUAUUCGGAAUUAUUGGGCGUAAAGGGCGCGUAGGCUGGUUAAUAAGUUAAAAGUGAAAUCCCGAGGCUUAACCUUGGAAUUGCUUUUAAAACUAUUAAUCUAGAGAUUGAAAGAGGAUAGAGGAAUUCCUGAUGUAGAGGUAAAAUUCGUAAAUAUUAGGAGGAACACCGGUGGCGAAGGCGUCUAUCUGGUUCAAAUCUGACGCUGAAGCGCGAAGGCGUGGGGAGCAAACA